rnacentral:rRNA from 1 species
GACGAACGCUGGCGGCGCGCCUAACACAUGCAAGUCGAACGAGCGAGGGAGAGCUUGCUUUCUCGAGCGAGUGGCGAACGGGUGAGUAACGCGUGAGUAACCUGCCUCAAAGAGGGGGACAACAGUUGGAAACGACUGCUAAUACCGCAUAAGCGCACGGGUCGGCAUCGACCAGAGGGAAAAGGAGCAAUCGGCUUUGAGAUGGCCUCGCGUCCGAUUAGGUAGUUGGUGAGGUAACGGCCCACCAAGGCAACGAUUGGUAGCCGGACUGGGAGGUUGAACGGCCACAUUGGGACUGAGACACGGCCCAGACUCCUACGCGAGGCAGCAGUGGGUAAUAUUGCACAAUGGGGGAAACCCUGAUGCAGCGACGCCGCGUAGAGGAAGAAGGUCUUCGGAUUGUAAACUCCUGUUGUUGGGGAAGAUAAUGACGGUACCCAACAAAGAAGUGACGGCUAACUACGUG